UACGUAGGGUGCGAGCGUUAAUCGGAAUUACUGGGCGUAAAGUGUGCGCAGGCGGUCUCGCCAGUCAAGUGUGAAAGCCCCGGGCUUAACCUGGGAACUGCGCUUGAAACUACGAGACUUGAGUGUGGCAGAGGAAGGUGGAAUUCCACGUGUAGCGGUGAAAUGCGUAGAGAUGUGGAGGAACACCGAUGGCGAAGGCAGCCUUCUGGGCCAACACUGACGCUCAUGCACGAAAGCGUGGGGAGCAAACAGGAUUAGAUACCCUGGUAGUCCACGCCCUAAACGAUGAUGACUAGUUGUUGGAGGAGUUAAAUCCUUUAGUAACGCAGCUAACGCGUGAAGUCAUCCGCCUGGGGAGUACGGUCGCAAGAUUAAA
rnacentral:rRNA from 1 species